AUCGCUUCUCGGCCUUUUGGCUAAGAUCAAGUGUAGUAUGCUACUGGAUGGGUGAUCUCUCUGUGUGUCUUUCUGGCCCUCUGACUUUAAAAUAAAUAAAAAGAAAUUAGUUUUUAAAAUUUUUUUAAAAACUAAACAAAUGAAUCCUUUUAUCACCCAGAAGGUAUCAACAUUAAACUUUG